rnacentral:misc_RNA from 1 species
AAGUCGUAACAAGGUCUCCGUUGGUGAACCAGCGGAGGGAUCAUUACCGAGUUUACAACUCCCAAACCCAAUGUGAACGUUACCAAACUGUUGCCUCGGCGGGGUCACGCCCCGGGUGCGUAAAAGCCCCGGAACCAGGCGCCCGCCGGAGGAACCAACCAAACUCUUUCUGUAGUCCCCUCGCGGACGUAUUUCUUACAGCUCUGAGCAAAAAUUCAAAAUGAAUCAAAACUUUCAACAACGGAUCUCUUGGCUCCA